rnacentral:lncRNA from 1 species
GCUUAGAAUUCACAAUGACCAGAGAAAUAUCCUGAACAACUACUAUAUAGAGAAUGGCAAGAGAUCAAUGACAUCAAUCUUGACUUGUGUGCGAAUUGGACUUUACUGAAUCAGAGUAACACAAAAUUGUCCACCUCACUUUCUUCCAGAGCCCUGGAAAUCCAGAGGCAAGACAAAAAUAAGGAUAACUAACCAUAGUCCAGGACAGUGAAUGACUUUUGUUUCAUAGCCAUUGUGGGGGAAAAUAUUUGGGAGUAGAUAUCCCUCUAGGUUACCAACAGAUCAAAGUCUAUGAGCUACCUUCAACAUGAGUAAGCCCACCUGCCAAUAUAAGAUUAGUGGGCUGCUAUUCUAGGUAUACAUUCUUGGAACCAGAGGUAAGAAUUGGAUGACAGCUGAACACCAAAG